AUGUCAUUUGGAGGGCAUUUUCUUAGUAACCCUUUAUAACGCUCCCAUUCCCCAUAAAGUGACUCACCCGGAUAUUGCUCAAAGUGGGAUACUGCCUUCUUGAGUUU